UAUCAAGCGAUAUAAAGAAAAUGAAAAAUAUAAGGUUAUGCUGCCCUAAGGAAAACAUGGCGUUAGCCUUGCAAGAAAUUCGUGGAGGAAACUCUAUUGCACAAAUAUCUCGAAAAUAUAACAUUCCACAGUAACGCGCGGAAUGCUCACAGUAUUUGACAUGCGGUAAUCGGAACGUCCGCAGUACUUGGCUCGCAGUAAUGGAUACAUAACCGCAGGAUCCAAUAUUUUGAGAAAAGUAAACGUUCAAGUUGAAGAAUAGAACUGGCGAAUUAAUCUACGAAUGGGACAUAUCUCGGCAUCGCCGAGAGAAAGCCGUGAAAUGAGAGGCGGCCGCCUGAAUGGAAGAGCGAAGCGGCCGAUCGCUGAUCAGGAAAGUUCGGGGGCACCUUCGGACCCUCCGAACGGUCGUUACGAUUCGAAAACGUCCAACGGACUGCUGAGAGGCUGCUGCCCGCUGCUCACUUCGUUCCACGUUUCAUCGACUCUCCCGUUAUGCAACCCGUCUGCCACGCUCUCGGCGACCGACCGGCAUUAGCUUGCCCGAGGGUCACUUCCUUGACCGUGAACCAGGCAACAGUCCCACUGUUACCUCACGCCAGCUGGCAUCUUGGUUAGAGGUAGGUCGAGGGCUCGCGUAGGUUCGCGAUCUCUUCGCGUUCAAGGCCGCCGUUCGAAGAGACGUUCUCGGCGCUAGAGAACCGACUCCCAGAGACGAUUCUCUUAAGGGGUCUUUGAACCGCUCGGAGCGGUGGACAAUAAGCGGUUAUGGUCUGGUUCUCGACCGGUCGCUUUUGGCAGCUGCCAGCGAACGGUGUACGCCGUUUUGAGAGACGGAAACGGCGGACGCCUGGCGUUUAGGCGGAAAAUGAGGCCGGUUCGGGGUCCGAAAGAAGAUGCGGGGGAACGAUGGACGAUCGCGAGAACGCUGCUGCAUGGUUACUAUUGUUCAAAAGCAUCUUUCCGGGUAUACAGUGGUCAAUGUAUAUUUAAGAACUGCUUGAUAUUAUGUAUUAUUAUUAUUAGACCGCGGAUCUUUAUGCAAAAUAAAUAUUCUAAUCAUCGCUCACAUCAAACAGAAAUGAGAUAAAAACGUGUUUCUUCGUUUAACGAUGUUAGUAUAGUGAAAGCAGUGCUGCGGUAUUUCUAAAUUUAUUUCUUGUUUUCGCUGUUCUGUGUUUCGUUCAUUCAUUUUCUAAACCGAAAAAAAAACAAGAAAAACCGCGGUCUAAUUAUUACACACGAUGGUAAUAUACAGGGUGGGGCAUUUGAAACA